rnacentral:tRNA from 1 species
GGCGGAGUGUAGCACAGUGGGUAAGGAACUGGGCUUGUAACCGAAAGGUCGCAGGUUCGAUUCCUGGGUAAGGACACUGCCG